rnacentral:rRNA from 1 species
GACAGAGGUCCCGAGCGUUAGGCGGAAUCACUGGGCUUAAAGCGUGUGUAGGCGGAGUUCUAAGUACCUUGUGAAAUCCCACGGCUCAACCGUGGAACUGCUUGGUAUACUGGUUCUCUUGAGCCACCUAGGGGCAACCGGAACAAACGGUGGAGCGGUGAAAUGCGUAGAUAUCGUUUGGAACGCCAAUGGUGAAAAACAGGUUGCUGGGGGGUGUGCUGACGCUGAGACACGAAAGCCAGGGGGAGCAAACGGGG